rnacentral:rRNA from 1 species
UGCGUAGGUGGUUGGUUAAGUUUGAGGUGAAAGCUCCGAGCUCAACUCGGAAAAUGCCUUGAAGACUAUCUGACUAGAGGAUUGGAGGGGAGAUUGGAAUUCUCGGUGUAGCAGUGAAAUGCGUAGAUAUCGAGAGGAACACCAGUGGCGAAGGCGAAUCUCUGGACAAUUCCUGACACUGAGGCACGAAAGCCAAGGGAGCAAACG